rnacentral:rRNA from 1 species
AGUGAACGCUGGCGGUAGGCCUAACACAUGCAAGUCGAACGGCAGCACAGUAAGAGCUUGCUCUUACGGGUGGCGAGUGGCGGACGGGUGAGGAAUACAUCGGAAUCUACUUUUUCGUGGGGGAUAACGUAGGGAAACUUACGCUAAUACCGCAUACGACCUACGGGUGAAAGCAGGGGAUCUUCGGACCUUGCGCGAUUGAAUGAGCCGAUGUCGGAUUAGCUAGUUGGCGGGGUAAAGGCCCCCCAAGGCGACGAUCCGUAGCUGGUCUGAGAGGAUGAUCCGCCACACUGGAACCGAGACACGGUCCCGACUCCUACGGGAGGCCGCAGUGGGGAAUAUUGGACAAUGGGCGCAAGCCUGAUCCAGCCAUACCGCGUGGGUGAAGAAGGCCUUCGGGUUGUAAAGCCCUUUUGUUGGGAAAGAAAAGCAGCAGGUUAAUACCCCGCUGUUCCGACGGUACCCAAAGAAUAAGCACCGGCUAACUUCGUG